rnacentral:lncRNA from 1 species
AUUGAUAAGUCCCCUUUUAUUUGAUAUGUUUCCCUCCAAAGCAAGGAUACACUUAGGCAGCUUUCUGUCCUCAGCACUUGACAUUCUAAUUUAUCAUCUGAUAACCCAGUGACCUCUUACCAGAUAGCUUCUUCUUUCCCUUCAAGAUGACCACAUCAGGAGGUGGCGGCUUCUGUGACUGUGGUGACACUGAAGCGUGGAAAGAGGGUCCUUACUGCCAAAGACACGAGCUUAGCAGUUCAGAAGUUGUGGAGGAGGAGGUAAACACACCCCAAAAGUUGUCUUUAAGUGUGUACUGUGCUGGGUUCGGUCCCCAGCUCCGAAAAAAAAGAACCAAAAA